GAGCGGUAGCACAAGGGAGCUUGCUCCCUGGGUGACGAGCGGCGGACGGGUGAGUAAUGUCUGGGAAACUGCCUGAUGGAGGGGGAUAACUACUGGAAACGGUAGCUAAUACCGCAUAACGUCGCAAGACCAAAGAGGGGGACCUUCGGGCCUCUUGCCAUCAGAUGUGCCCAGAUGGGAUUAGCUAGUAGGUGGGGUAAUGGCUCACCUAGGCGACGAUCCCUAGCUGGUCUGAGAGGAUGACCAGCCACACUGGAACUGAGACACGGUCCAGACUCCUACGGGAGGCAGCAGUGGGGAAUAUUGCACAAUGGGCGCAAGCCUGAUGCAGCCAUGCCGCGUGUGUGAAGAAGGCCCUUCGGGUUGUAAAGCACUUUCAGCGAGCAGGAAGGUGGUGAACUU
rnacentral:rRNA from 1 species